rnacentral:rRNA from 1 species
GAUGAACGCUGGCGGCGUGCUUAACACAUGCAAGUCGAACGGAGAAACGGUAGCUUGCUAUCUUUUUUUAGUGGCGGACGGGUGAGUAACGCGUGGGUAACCUGCCCUUUGCAGGGGGAUAACAGUGAGAAAUCGCUGCUAAUACCGCAUACCAACUUCUUUCGCAUGAAAGAAGUUUGAAAGAUUUAUCGGCAAAGGAUGGACCCGCGUUGGAUUAGCUAGUUGGUGAGAUAACAGCCCACCAAGGCAACGAUCCAUAGCCGGCCUGAGAGGGUGAACGGCCACACUGGGACUGAGACACGGCCCAGACUCCUACGGGAGGCAGCAGUGGGGGAAUAUUGCACAAUGGGCGAAAGCCUGAUGCAGCGACGCCGCGUGAAGGAUGAAGGUCUUCGGAUUGUAAACUUCUAUCAGCAGGGAAGAAAGGGCUUAUAGCCUAUGACGGUACCUGACUAAGAAGACCCCGGCUAACUACGUGCCAGCAGCCGCGGUAAUCAUA